UGUGAAGCCCCGGGGCUCAACUCCGGACGUGCAUUUGAAACAGCAGGACUUGAGACAAGGAGAGGAAAGCGGAAUUCCUGGUGUAGAGGUGAAAUUCGUAGAGAUCUAGAGGAACGCCAAAGACGAAGGUAGGCGGCUGGGCCGGUUCUGACGCUCAGGCACGAAAGCGUGGGGAGCAAACAGGAUUAGAUACCCUGGUAGUCCACGCCGUAAACGUUGUGCACUAGGUGCUGGAGGUUCUGACACCAUCAGCGCCGAAGCGAAAGUGAUUAGUGCACCGCCUGGGGAGUACGGUCGCAAGGCUAAAACUCAAAGGAAUUGACGGGGGCUCACACAAGCGGUGGAGCAUGUGGCUUAAUUCGAGGCAACGCGAAGAACCUUAUCCUGGGCUUGGCAUGCAUGGAUUAACGCUGGGAAACCAGCGCCACACUCUUUGAGUGGAACAUGCACAGGUGCUGCAUGGCUGUCGUCAGCUCGUGCUGUGAAGUGUUGGGUUAAGUCCCUUAACGAGCGAAACCCCUGUCGCUAGUUACCAUCAGGUGAUGCUGGGGACUCUAGCGAGACUGCCGGUGUCAAACCGGAGGAAGGCGGGGAUGACGUCAAGUCCUCAUGGCCUUUAUGCCCAGGGCUGCACACGUGCUACAAUGGCGCCGACAGAGCGAAGCAAAACCGCGAGGUAGAGCAAAUCGCAAAAAAGGUGCCCCAGUUCGGAUUGCAGUCUGCAACUCGACUGCAUGAAGCCGGAAUCGCUAGUAAUCGCGUAUCAGCAACGACGCGGUGAAUACGUUCCUGAGCCUGUACACACCGCCCGUCAAGUCAUGGAAGCCGGGAGUACCACGAAGUCGCACCGAUUCAG
rnacentral:rRNA from 1 species